GGCUGGAAAGAUGGCUCAGUGGCUAAGAGCACUGAUUGCUUUUCCAGAGGUCCUGAGUUCAAUUCCCAGCAACCA
rnacentral:tRNA from 1 species